CCUACGGGAGGCAGCAGUGGGGAAUAUUGGUCAAUGGGCGCAAGCCUGACCCAGCAACGCCGCGUGAAGGAAGAAGGCUUUCGGGUUGUAAACUUCUUUUAAGAGGGAAGAGCAGAAGACGGUACCUCUUGAAUAAGCCACGGCUAACUACGUGCCAGCAGCCGCGGUAAUACGUAGGUUGCAAGCGUUGUCCGGAUUUACUGGGUGUAAAGGGCGUGCAGCCGGGAAGACAAGUCAGAUGUGAAAUCCCGCGGCUCAACCGCGGAACUGCAUUUGAAACUGUUUUUCUUGAGUACCGGAGAGGUCAUCGGAAUGCCUGGUGUAGCGGUGAAAUGCGUAGAUAUAAGGAAGAACACCAGUGGCGAAGGCAGAUGACUGGCCGACAACUGACGGUGAGGCGCGAAAGCGUGGGGAGCAAACAGGAUUAGAUACCCCUGUAGUC
rnacentral:rRNA from 1 species